rnacentral:rRNA from 1 species
CAAGCGGGAGGAAGGCGCGGAUGACGUCAAGUCAGUAUGGCUCUUACGCCCAGGGCUGCACACGUGCUACAAUGGCCGGUACAGUGGGAAGCGACACCGCGAGGUGGAGCCCAAUCCCCAAAACCGGCCCCAGUUCAGAUUGCAGUCUGCAACUCGACUGCAUGAAGUCGGAAUCGCUGGUAAAGGCGUAUCAGCAACGACGCCUUGAAUACGUUCCCGGGCCUU